GAUGAACGCUGGCGGCGUGCCUAAUACAUGCAAGUCGAGCGAACAGAUGAGGAGCUUGCUCCUCUGACGUUAGCGGCGGACGGGUGAGUAACACGUGGAUAACCUACCUAUAAGACUGGGAUAACUUCGGGAAACCGGAGCUAAUACCGGAUAAUAUAUUGAACCGCAUGGUUCAAUAGUGAAAGACGGUUUUGCUGUCACUUAUAGAUGGAUCCGCGCCGCAUUAGCUAGUUGGUAAGGAAACGGCUUACCAAGGCAACGAUGCGUAGCCGACCUGAGAGGGUGAUCGGCCACACUGGAACUGAGACACGGUCCAGACUCCUACGGGAGGCAGCAGUAGGGAAUCUUCCGCAAUGGGCGAAAGCUUGACGGAGCAACGCCGCGUGAGUGAUGAAGGUCUUCGGAUCGUAAAACUCUGUUAUUAGGGAAGAACAAAUGUGUAAGUAACUAUGCACGUCUUGACGGUACCUAAUCAGAAAGCCACGGCUAACUACGUG
rnacentral:rRNA from 1 species